CCGUCGACCUCCUCCUGCGGUUUCUCCGUGACGCCGCCGUCUCCGUCCUUGCUCUCGGCGGUGGCGGCCACGUCGACGACGACGCCAUCGUCGUCGGUGCCGAGGUCGUAGAUCCUGUUCUCCCGCUUGGUCUCCCGUAUCCUGUCCAGGCUCUCCCGGACCCUGAGCGCCAGCGGGAUGAGCACGGGGGUGGCCAGCAGCACGGCGAGGCUGACCACGUGCUCCCUCGACGACAGCCCGCCGCCGGACGUGGAGGAGCCGAUGCUGCCAACCACGGCGCAGGCCCCCGUGGCGAGCGUGAUGGCGAACAUGACGAGGAAUGCCGCGUCCGUGCUGGCCCCCGCCUGGCCCUCGCCCGUGACCGUGAGGUCCACCGCCCUGAGCGACGGCGCCACCGCGACGGUGACGAGCAUGGGCACGACGGCAUUGAGGAGGAGGUAGGUCUUGGCCUUGGAGGUGGCCUGGUGGCCGGGUAUGGAGUCCGCCAGGCUGGUGUAGACCUUGGCGCUGAGGCCGAGGUAGCUGGCGGCGAGGCUCACGGCGACGCGGCUGCGGCUGCUGCCGAAGUUGCGGAUGCAGAGGAGGUAGCAGACGGUGUUGAUCCAGCAGAUGCCGUUCCCGGCCAGGGAGGUGAGCAGGAACAGGUGCCAGUAGCGGAGGGCGGCGCUGUCGAGGAAGAGGUACUGGACCCCGUAGCCGACGAGGCCGAAGGAUGCGCCGACCAAGGCCACGAGCCACAGCGGCAGGUGCAGCGCCGCCACCCCGGAGAACCAGCCGAAGAGCUUGCCCGCGUCGGACGCGAAGGCCAGGAAGUUGAGCUGCACCUGCGUGAUGUGCUUCAGGUCCUUGAGCUGCGACGAGUAGACGGGGAAGUCCGCGUUGGGCCCGUUGAUGGUCUGCAGCCAGAUGCUCCCGACGAGGCUCAGCCAGUGGGCCGAGGAAGGGGAAGGCAUGGUGAGGGAGGGAGGGAGAGGAGUCGUGUCCCUCUCCGUGGUGCUUGC
rnacentral:misc_RNA from 1 species